AUACAUUUCUCAGUCUUUUGGCUAUGACAAAAUGUAAUAUUUGUUCUUAUCAGUUUAAUAUCUAAUAUGUGGACUAUAUGUUCACUUUGAUAUUAAAAUUAUUUUUAUGGGUAUUUGUUGGAGAGGGUCUACCACACUAAUUUACUAUGAUCUUGUGUGUCACUUAGCCGUUGCACUGCUGGUAGGGUCUGGCCUACCCCAA
rfam:Zea mays cultivar B73 chromosome 6, whole genome shotgun sequence.